rnacentral:rRNA from 1 species
AGCGAACGCUGGCGGCAGGCCUAACACAUGCAAAUCGAACGAACUCUUCGGAGUUAGUGGCGGACGGGUGAGUAACACGUGGGAACGUGCCUUUAGGUUCGGAAUAACUCAGGGAAACUUGUGCUAAUACCGAAUGUGCCCUUCGGGGGAAAGAUUUAUCGCCUUUAGAGCGGCCCGCGUCUGAUAGCUAGUUGGUGGGGUAAUGGCUCACCAAGGCCACGAUCAGUAGCUGGUCUGAGAGGAUGACCAGCCACAUUGGGACUGAGACACGGCCCAAACUCCUACGGGAGGCAGCAGUGGGGAAUCUUGCGCAAUGGGCGAAAGCCAGACGCAGCCAUGCCGCGUGGAUGAUGAAGGUCUUAGGAUUGUAAAAUCCUUUCACCGGUGAAGAUAAUGACUGUAGCCGGAGAAGAAGCCCCGGCUAACUUCGUGCCAGCCGCCGCAGUAA